GAGACAGGUGCUGCAUGGCUGUCGUCAGCUCGUGUUGUGAAAUGUUGGGUUAAGUCCCGCAACGAGCGCAACCCUUAUCCUUUGUUGCCAGCGAUUCGGUCGGGAACUCAAAGGAGACUGCCGGUGAUAAACCGGAGGAAGGUGGGGAUGACGUCAAGUCAUCAUGGCCCUUACGAGUAGGGCUACACACGUGCUACAAUGGCGCAUACAAAGAGAAGCGACCUCGCGAGAGCAAGCGGACCUCACAAAGUGCGUCGUAGUCCGGAUCGGAGUCUGCAACUCGACUCCGUGAAGUCGGAAUCGCUAGUAAUCGUGGAUCAGAAUGCCACGGUGAAUACGUUCCCGGGCCUUGUACACACCGCCCGUCACACCAUGGGAGUGGGUUGCAAAAGAAGUAGGUAGCUUAACCUUCGGGAGGGCGCUUACCACU
rnacentral:rRNA from 1 species